AUACAGAGGUCCCAAGCGUUGUUCGGAUUUACUGGGCGUAAAGAGUGCGUAGGUGGUGAGGAAAGUCUGAUGUGAAAUCUCCGGGCUCAACCCGGAAACUGCAUUGGAAACUGCCUUGCUAGAGGAUCGGAGGGGAAAUUGGAAUUCCCGGAGUAGCGGUAAAAUGCGUGGAUCUCGGGAGGAACACCAAUGGCGAAGGCGACUACCUGGACUAACAUUGACGCUGAGGUGCGAAAGCGUGGGGAGCAAACAGGAUUAGAAACCCCGGUAGUCC
rnacentral:rRNA from 1 species